UGACCUCGGAUCAGGUAGGAAUACCCGCUGAACUUAAGCAUAUCAUAAA
rnacentral:rRNA from 1 species